rnacentral:rRNA from 1 species
UACGGGGGGGGCAAGCGUUGUUCGGAAUUACUGGGCGUAAAGGGCUCGUAGGUGGCCAACUAAGUCAGACGUGAAAUCCCUCGGCUUAACCGGGGAACUGCGUCUGAUACUGGAUGGCUUGAGUUUGGGAGAGGGACGCGGAAUUCCAGGUGUAGCGGUGAAAUGCGUAGAUAUCGGGAGGAACACCAGUGGCGAAGGCGGCGACCUGGGCCAAUACUGACGCUGAGGUGCGAAAGCGUGGGGAGCAAACAGG